UACAGAGGUGUCAAGCGUUGUUCGGAUUCAUUGGGCGUAAAGGGUGCGUAGGCGGCGCGGUAAGUCUGGGGUGAAAGCUCGGGGCUUAACUCCGAAACUGCAUUCGAUACUGCCGUGCUUGAGGACUGGAGAGGAGACUGGAAUUUACGGUGUAGCGGUGAAAUGCGUAGAUAUCGUAAGGAAGACCAGUGGCGAAGGCGGGUCUCUGGACAGUUCCUGACGCUGAGGCACGAAGGUCAGGGGAGCAAACGGG
rnacentral:rRNA from 1 species